GGCCCAAAUUUGAAGUUGAGUAGAUUGCUAGGGUCAGGUGACCAUAUUAAUCAACUCUACUCCAAGUUUGCGCUC
rnacentral:pre_miRNA from 1 species